GCUGUUGCUACCUACUGGCACCUAGAGAAGAGCCACCAAGGAUGCUGCUCAACAUCCUACACUGGGGAAGACAGCUGCCUGCAACAAAGAAUCAUCCGGAAAAUGUCAAUAGUGCUAAGGUUGAGAAACCCUGACUUACUCAUUCAACAAGUAAGAAGUGCGUGCCUCUUAUGUGUUCAUACUGUUCUAGGAACUGUGAACAGCUCGACAAAACUCCUGCCUUCCCAGAGCUUACAUAGUAGUGGGAUAUACUGGAAGCUGAAUUUGUUCAAACUCAGUAUUUGCCAAAACAAGCAAAUAAACAAAAUUCGAGUUAUAAAAACAACCACUUUGGAUCUCAAAGAGAGUUCAUCUUGAAUCCCAACUACGAAAACCACUGAACCAAGCUGUGGUAGAUGGACUUGCAUUAUUCCAGCAAAUUAAAUCUUCUUCUCAGGGAAGAACGUACCUGCUUUCGUCUUCCUGUGUCUCUUGGAGCAAGGAGGAAAAAAUCUACUUCCUUUCUCUUUUCCUGCCAGCUGGGACCCAUAUGUGAUGAUAGGAGCAGGAGCAGCCACCUUGGAGUCAAAGAUGAAAGUCAUGUCUGGAGGAUGAUGUCAUCUGACCUCUGAUCUGUUACAAGAUAGCACUUUGUUCAUGCGAUUGUGUUUUGAAAUUUGUUUGGAGGUUUGUUAGAGUGCCUUAGACUGUACCCUGAUGCAAUGUCCCUCAAUGCUCAAUUCAAAUGGCAUGUACUCUGGGAAGAUUUCCAGAUUUCCACCUCCUUUGGUCAUAUACCAAUCAGAACUGAUCACUCUUAUCCCAGUGCUCUCUGUAUUUUGAAAAUAUUUUUAUCAGCACUUAUAAUCCUCUAGUUUUAUUAUAGUGAUUUUAAUUUAGUAUCAGUUGCCCAACAUAGAAGCCUUACCUAUGCUACUGCCUAAGCUGGGCACCCCUGUCCUGUGCUCUCAUAACACCCUGUACGUCUAUCCAACAACUAUACUUAAAUUUACUUUUUUAGUAUUUAUCUUCCUACUGUCCUGUAUAAGCUCCACAUGGACAGAACCUUGGCUGCCUUUCUGGUAACUGUAUCUCCAGUUCCCACAGGAAAUCUGGGACAUAACAGGCACAUAGCAAAUGUUUGUUGGAUAAACAAAUGAUCUCCUUAAAGUAUGGAUUACUUACAUUUGUA
rnacentral:lncRNA from 1 species